CGCACUUUCUCUCCUCCCUUUCCUCACUUCUGUAGCCCUCUUACCCACACUUCUCUCCCACUUCCCUCCCGUAGCCCUCUCUCUCUAACCCCAAUCUGUGACUCGAAGACAUGUACAACGAGUAAUGCGUCCAGAUUUUGCUCAACGUAUAAUAAUUAAUAGAAAAGGGAAGCAAAAGGGGAGGAGUUAUGAGGCACCUAUGAAUUCACAUGAAAGUAGAGAAGACAGAGUCAUAGACAAUGAUCAUGUAUAAUUCGUGUUUCUGCAUCUGAAUCAAAUCAUGGAUCAAGAGGAUGAAAUUUCAAGUGCAAGGUGUGCAUGUAGACAAUUAUGUGCACCACUAUGGAGGUGAAGUGCAGGGAGCAUGCGGAAGGAAAGCACCCCAAAUCUGAUGUUUAUACUUGCUUCUCUCAUCUCAAAAAAUGAAUGAAUGUGGAGAUGGAUUGAGAAUAAACUAG